UUAAGCCGGUAGGCGAAGGCGCAGCGAAGCGAGUCUGAACAGGGCGUUCAGUCGCGGGCAGAAGACCGAAACCGAGUGAUCUAGCCAUGGCCAGGUUGAAGGUGGGGUAACACCCACUGGAGGACCGAACUCACGCCUGUUGAAAAAGUCGGAGAUGAGCUGUGGCUAGGGGUGAAAGGCCAAUCAAAACUCGGAAAUAGCUGGUUCUCCGCGAAAUCUAUUGAGGUAGAUCGUCGGAUGUUUACCCUCGGGGGUAGAGCACUGGAUGGGCUAGGGGGACCCAAAGUCUUACCAAACCUAACCAAACUCCGAAUACCGAGAAGUAUAGUCCGGCAGACAGACGGCGGGUGCUAAGGUCCGUCGUCGAGAGGGAAACAGCCCAGACCACCAGCUAAGGUCCCCAAAUCGUGGCUAAGUGGGAAAGGAUGUGGGAAUUCCAAAACAACCAGGAGGUUGGCUUAGAAGCAGCCAUCCUUUAAAGAAAGCGUAAUAGCUCACUGGUCUAUUAGAAAUCCUGCGCCGAAGAUGUAACGGGGC
rnacentral:rRNA from 1 species